ACUUAGGCUUCAUUGGUUUGAACUGAGUGAAAGCAUUGGUAGUGCCUAAAAAGAUCCCUCAGGUGAUUCCAAUGCACUAGCACCAUGGUUCUUCAACUUUGAUUACCAGAACAACCACAGCAGCAUCACCUGUAAACUUUUCACAACGUCCCAGGCUUCCUCCUAUACCUACUGAAGCAGAAACUUUGGUGCUGGGGCUCAGCAAUAUGAAUUUUAACGCGCUCUUAAGGCAACUUUGAUAAGAUGACUGCUCUGCCUUCUGCCAUCCCCCUCUCCUCAUCUAACAUUUCCUGAGGUCUCUACAGCCACAUGGAACGGGACUGUGUUAUGCACUUCAGAUGAGGAAUACAAAAUACAAAAUUCCUUAUAAGUUGUGGAAUAAAAGAUGCAAGACAAAACAAGCAGUGCCGAAGACACACGGACCACAUUAAUCAGAAAGAAGCAGGGUGCUAAAUGAAGAGGCCAAGAGAUCCUCUUGGGAUAUCUGGGAUUAUUUCACAGAGAAGAAACCUAAAUUCUUAACCUAGAUUCUCAAAGUAUGAGGAGUAAGCAAGCAGAUACUGCGAGUAGAGAUGACACCAAUGAAAACACAAUGGACAUGAGAAAAUAAGGGCACUGCAAACACAAUUACACACCCAAAGCCUAAUUUUCAACUAAGGAAACUUGAGUCCCAGACUGCCCAGCAUUGUAAAAUGUACGAAGAGAUUUAGGUUUUAUUCUUCAGCAGACAAAAUGCACUGACUUUUUUUGUUUGUUUGUUUAAUUGAGGAGUGGUAUGAUUCCAUAACGGAUUUAAAAGAGUAAAUGUGUUAGGACUGGGAGAUUGAUUGGCAUGGGAAGAUGAUAGCAAGGAGACCAGGCUAUUAGAGGAGUAGGGCAAACACACUCUGAUCUGAUCUGAGACCAUGGCCAUUUUCUUUCAAAAAUGUUUUUGGAAAUAUUUUAUGGUUAUUAUUUUUAAAUAAAAUAGCUCCUACUCUUGAUUUCACUACAAAUGUUAAAAUAUUGCUAUCACUUAUAAGACAAAACCAUAGGCUAAUGUAUAAUGCUUGUAAUAGAGCAUACUUGGUAAAUACAAAGGCACAGCUGCUUUAAUUAAUUUCUAUGAGAAAAGUAAACAAAAAUUUUGAAUACUUCAUGCAAAGUAUAACAAGCUUAUAGGCUUUUACAUUUUCCAGUUCACAUUGCCAUUUCUAUCUAAGAAGGACACACAAUAAGAUGGAAGAAAACUUGCUUUAAAAUCUUUAUUUUAAGCAGGGACUUAAUGCAGUGAUUUUAUUCUCCUAAUAAAUAUAACCCCACAUAAGAGCUGUCACCAUAUUCUGUAAUAGGCACCAAGUUUGAGCCAAACUAAUUAGCAAUAAAUCUGCCAGAACCCACUCAAAAUAUUCUCCUAAUUAAUCAGAAAAGAAAUAGAUGAAUUGAAAAAUGUUGUUAUCCCAUGAAAGAAAUUUUAUCAUCAAUUUCUGUGGUUACUUAACUGAUUUGUCUGUCUUCAUACUGGCACGCCCAUCAGCCUUUGCUUUAUAAGUCAGUUAAAAAUUUUCUGAUUACUUGGGAUGAAGGGAUUAUAAAAAGCUAUAAGUACCAAGUGAUCAUGAUUUUUAGCUGGAUUAUAUUUAUUUGUUUGAGCACACUUCACUAAUAAAAUAUUUUUCCUGUAUUUCAUAUACUAAAAUAGUUACCUCCACUUUUUUAAAAUCUUUAGCUGAUUUCUGUUUUUAAAACCCUCAUUUACUUUUUACUGUUUUGGUUCUUCUGUGUAAUAAUUUUUUUUCAUCUCUUCCUCAACAGUUUCCAUUGAAUGUUUUCAGAAUACUUUCAUCUAAAUUUUAAAUGUCUCUUGAGUGUAGCUAAUUAAGCUUCAUUAAAGCAUAACAAUCUAAAUCUUAACACCAAUAAUGAGCACUUAAUAAAACAAAGACAACCUUCCAUUUGAAGAUUAACAAAUUUGCUCUAUAUGUUCUUUUCCAGGCUAAGGAAACAGUCUGCCAUCUGAUAUAAAUUUUACCUUAAUAUUUGUACCUUUAUUACUUUAUUCCAUGCUUUUAAAUGGUUAGAACAUCAUGGGCUUCUUCCAAAAUUUCUGAAGGAAAAAUAUUUUAAAGUUCUCAUUAGUCUUCAAAAGCAUAAAGUAUGGAAAGGUGGGAAGGGUAGGGAGAGAUGUGACUUUACAGCAGAGAAACGUGCCAAACACUACCUCAACUUCAUGGUAAAGACUAACAUCAUCAGUGAAAAUCAUUUCAAUUGUGUUUAUCUUUGAUAUUAAGUGUUAAGAAUGGUACUUAUCUUUGUAUUCAUUAUCCGCAAAUCCCCAUAGCCCCAAUCUAAACCUGGAAACAAAAAAUCAGACAAAUCCAAACUGAUACUCUACAAAAUACCUGGCCAGCACUCCUGAAAUAUGUGAAAGUCAUCACAUACUUUGAUGAUUUUCACAUAUUUCUUACACUGAGAAACUUUGCAAGAGGAAGGUAGUACAUAUGAUAAUUAAUGUAAUGAGGUAUCCUGGAUGGGAUCCUGGAACAGAAAGAAAAAAAAUUUGGAAAGUUCAAGUGAAGUACAGAGUUUGGUUAAUGGCAAUGUUACCAACAUUGGUUUCUUAGUUUUGACAAAUGCACCAUGGCAAUGUAAGAUGUUAACUGGAUGAAAGUUACUCAGAAACUUUCUGUACCAUCUCUGCAAAUAUUCUGGAAACCUAAAACAAUUCUAUUUUUUGAAAGUUUAUUCACAAAUAAUUUCAUAAGAACAGAUAAUCAAUAUCACAAGGUAAUUGUGAAAACAGGCAAAAUAGUCUUAUGUCUAUUCCUGAUAAAUUAUGUAUUGAUUAUUAAUAGAACUUCCACAUGCAUUUUAUGCUAUAAAAUAUUUUGUACAGUAGAUUUAUGCCUCAUGAGUUAAGUUGUAAUCCAAUGGCAAGGGGAACAUUUUGUCAAAGUUUCUCUUGACAGUACAUUAAACUACCCAUAAAAUAUGGAACAUAUUGUCUUAUGUAUACAACAUCCUACAGAGUUCUUGUAAAUCCUUCAUAGUGUUUCUCCAUGGUAUCUUUCCUAAUAAAUAUAAUCCUUCAAUGUAAUUUUCAAAUGGCAUAAAGGAAGUUUCCAUCUUCCAACCACUUGCACAAACAAUGUGAUUCAUUUCUUUCUAAAUGAUCUGGAAACUCUUUGCAGAAUGUCUGCUCUCUUUCCAAAGGCAUCAAAAUAUGGACUUAUUACUUAAGAUUCCAUUGAAUUUACUCUCAGAGGCACAUGCUCAUUGAGAAAAAUGCUGAAUCAUCACCUCUCACUUAUUAUUAUGGUUCUUUAUUUCCAGAGGUUCAAUUGAGUUCUAACAGGUAUACAUGUGACUCCAUUGUAUUUCAAAAUGGUGAAUAAAUAUAUUAGCAAUAUUUAAAUUUAUCAUACAAAAAAAUUUGUAUAGAUAGGAUGGAAAUAUAUGUUCUUACACUUGAUUGGAAUAAAAUCAGUGAACUGUGUUUAAAAUAUAAACAUAAAUAUUGAGACUAGUAAAAAUGUGAUCAUCUAACGAAUAUUGUUUUAAAAAUUAACGUUUGAAGCAAUUACAUCUAAUUUUUGUGUUGCUCCUGUGCCAUUUAAAGAGAUACCCCUAUUAUUGUGAGUGAUGGUGGUUAUUAUGUGUAUUGAUACUGGAUUAAAAAUCUCAAAUUGAUUUUUUAAAGUUAUUAAAAAUCAUUGAUCAAGUAAUAAGAAAAAUUAACUGGAAAAGUUCAACUGCUUAUACAAUUUUGAUAAAUGAAGGAGCAUAAUUGGAAAGUUUAACCAUCAUUAAAGAUGUUAUCUGUGUCACAUGAAGUAAACUAAAAAUGCAGCAAUUAAAAUGGG
rnacentral:lncRNA from 1 species